rnacentral:rRNA from 1 species
AUUGAACGCUGGCGGCAGGCUUAACACAUGCAAGUCGAGCGAGCGGCGGACGGGUGGGUAAUGUCUGGGAAACUGCCUGAUGGAGGGGGAUAACUACUGGAAACGGUAGCUAAUACCGCAUACCAUCAGAAGUGCCCAGAUGGGAUUAGCUAGUAGGUGGGGUAAUGGCUCACAUAGGCGACGAUCCCUAGCUGGUCUGAGAGGAUGACCAGCCACACUGGGACUGAGAAACGGUCCAGACUCCUACGGGAUGCAGCAGUGGGGAAUAUUGCACAAGGGGCGCAAGCCUGAUGCAGCCAUGCCGCGUGUGUGAAGAAGGCCUUCGGGUUGUAAAGCACUGUCAGUGAGUAGGUGUUACUCGCAGAAGAAGCACCGGCUAACUCAGUGCCAGCAGCCGCGGUAAUAC